rnacentral:rRNA from 1 species
UACGGGGGGGGGCAAGCGUUUGUUCGGAAUUACUGGGCGUAAAGGGCUCGUAGGCGGCCAACUAAGUCGGAUGUGAAAUCCCCAAGCUUAACUUGGGAACUGCAUCCGAUACUGGAUGGCUUGAAUCCGGGAGAGGGAUGCAGAAUUCCAGGUGUAGCGGUGAAAUGCGUAGAUAUCUGGAGGAAUACCGGUGGCGAAGGCGGCAUCCUGGACCGGCAUUGACGCUGAGGAGCGAAAGCUAGGGGAGCAAACGGG